rnacentral:rRNA from 1 species
CCCCAGUAACGGCGAGUGAAGCGGCAACAGCUCAAAUUUGAAAUCUGGCUUCGGCCCGAGUUGUAAUUUGUAGAGGAUGCUUUUGGUGAGGUGCCUUCUGAGUUCCCUGGAACGGGACGCCAGAGAGGGUGAGAGCCCCGUAUAGUUGGACACCGAGCCUCUGUAAAGCUCCUUCGACGAGUCGAGUAGUUUGGGAAUGCUGCUCAAAAUGGGAGGUAUAUCUCUUCUAAAGCUAAAUACUGGCCAGAGACCGAUAGCGCACAAGUAGAGUGAUCGAAAGAUGAAAAGCACUUUGAAAAGAGGGUUAAAUAGUACGUGAAAUUGUUGAAAGGGAAGCGCUUGUGACCAGACUUGUGCCGGGCUGAUCAUCCAGUGUUCUCACUGGUGCACUCUGCCCGGCUCAGGCCAGCGUCGGUUCUCGCAGGGGGACAAAAGCUUCGGGAACGUAGCUCUCUCCGGGGAGUGUUAUAGCCCGCUGCUCAAUACCCUUGUGGGGACCGAGGUUCGCGCUCUGCAAGGACGCUGGCAUAAUGGUCAUCAGCGGCCCGUCUUGAAACACGGACCAAGGAGUCGAGGUUUUGC